CAGACCUGGUUCAAGAACAGACGAGCUAAAGAAUGUCGGAAGAGUUCACAACUCCCGCGGAGAAUUGGAAGUGGACCUCACUAUAGGCCUACUUCCUGCAGUGGUGGUGAAGUUCCUGAUUUCGGUGCCAGUCCAGAUUCUGUGUGCCAGAGACAUGUGGAUGUCAGCUAUCCUCCUGAGUUUAGACCAUCAAGGAUCUCCCCUCACCAGGAAUUCAACUCUUCCCUCAUUGAUCAACCCUUGGAAGACAUGUGUUUCAGCAAGAGCCACAUUAUCUCGGAGCAUCCAAGGCAGAAGUGUAGAGAACUUUCCAGGGAACCCGGACACCUAUCUAGUGAUAGGUCUGGCUGUUCCAACGUUCUUUCCUCACCUUCUCCACCAGCCAGUGCUGAAUCUUCGUGUGACAUACCCUCGGGAUUAAGCCUUUCUCCUCAACUCGGACCUCCAAGUAUGACCCAAAACUCAGAAUCCACCUUCUCCAUGUGCCAGACACCAUCAGUUUUGAGCCCUCUUCCUGAACUCAGCCCCUUGAGUAAUUCGCUAGACCAGAUGGCCAUCUUUUCCAAAAUUGAUCAGGUCUGUGAAAUCUAUCAAAAGAAUACAAGGUCUAAGAAGCAAAGGAAGGAGACGGAGAAGAACACGGUGCAAAAUUUGAUGCAUGGCCAGGAUUCCUGUGAAAUAACUGAAAGCCCUAAAGGCACUGUCUCUCUGCCAAGCUCUGCCUAUCAGGAUACUUUGGCUCAGAGACAGUCUGUGUUCAGUUCUCCUCCAUGCAGCCCAUCAAGUACAUCUCCAGACUCAGAAUCCAUAUUUUCUGCAUGGGAAGAAACAUGUCAUGUCAGCUUUCCUUCUCCUUUCAGCACAAGUAUGUUCUCAGACCCGGAGUCAACCUUGUCCAUUAUUCAGAUUAAUGAGAAUUUAUUAAGUGAUGCCAUUAUGUCUCUAUAG
rnacentral:lncRNA from 1 species